GUGUAUUGCAAAUAACACUAAUAAUUCACUUAACUAUUAAAUACAUUUUUAUUAUUAUAUUAUAGAAACCUAUAAGAUUAAAAAAUAUAAACAAGUACAGUUAGGCGUACUUAUCUUAAUCAUUUAGGAGAUAUUGGUGUCAUAAUUCAGUAGUCAAGACAUAACAUACAAAAAUACUGUUCUAAAAGGAAUAUUUUGUCGAAACAUGAGCAUAGCGUAUUCAUAAAUCAGUCAAAUCAAUCAUAGCACACAACUAUUAACAUUGUUAGUGAAAUUAUA